UACGUAGGGGGGCUAGCGUUAUCCGGAAUUACUGGGCGUAAAGGGUGCGUAGGCGGUCUUUCAAGCCAGAAGUGAAAGGCUACGGCUCAACCGUAGUAAGCUUUUGGAACUGUAAGACUUGAGUGCAGGAGAGGAGAGUGGAAUUCCUGGUGUAGCGGUGAAAUGCGCAGAUAUCAGGAAGAACACCCGUGGCGAAAGCGGCUCUCUGGAACGGUACUGACGCUGAGACGCGAAAGCGUGGGGAGCGAACAGG
rnacentral:rRNA from 1 species